AUUGAACGCUGGCGGCAGGCCUGACACAUGCAAGUCGAGCGGAUGAAGGGAGCUUGCUCCUGGAUUCAGCGGCGGACGGGUGAGUAAUGCCUAGGAAUCUGCCUGGUAGUGGGGGAUAACGUCCGGAAACGGGCGCUAAUACCGCAUACGUCCUGAGGGAGAAAGUGGGGGAUCUUCGGACCUCACGCUAUCAGAUGAGCCUAGGUCGGAUUAGCUAGUUGGUGGAGUAAAGGCCUACCAAGGCGACGAUCCGUAACUGGUCUGAGAGGAUGAUCAGUCACACUGGAACUGAGACACGGUCCAGACUCCUACGGGAGGCAGCAGUGGGGAAUAUUGGACAAUGGGCGAAAGCCUGAUCCAGCCAUGCCGCGUGUGUGAAGAAGGUCUUCGGAUUGUAAAGCACUUUAAGUUGGGAGGAAGGGCAGUAAGUUAAUACCUUGCUGUUUUGACGUUACCAACAGAAUAAGCACCGGCUAACUUCGUG
rnacentral:rRNA from 1 species